rnacentral:rRNA from 1 species
UACGGAGGAUCCAAGCGUUAUCCGGAAUCAUUGGGUUUAAAGGGUCCGUAGGCGGUUUAGUAAGUCAGUGGUGAAAGCCCAUCGCCUCAACGGUGGAACGGCCAUUGAUACUGCUAGACUUGAAUUAUUAGGAAGUAACUAGAAUAUGUAGUGUAGCGGUGAAAUGCUUAGAGAUUACAUGGAAUACCAAUUGCGAAGGCAGGUUUACUACUAAUGGAUUGACGCUGAUGGACGAAAAGCGUGGGUAGCGAACAGG